rnacentral:lncRNA from 1 species
UUUAAGAAGACAGGACCCACCAGGGAGGAUGCUCAGGUGUGUCAUCAGGGACAUUUGACUCAAAACCACAGACUCCACUUCACACCCACUAGGAGUGCACCCAGAGUGCACUGUACAUUCUUGGUGCUGAGCCAAGGCUACUCAACCGCUCCUCAGGCUGUUUGGUGACCCCACUUUCAUGCCAGGAAACUGAGGCUUAAGGGAAGAACAGCCUGAGGGGACAUGGUGCAGCAAUGCAGAUACCAGGAGGUGGUUCUGGGGCUGGCUCUUCCCUGUCCCUCCAGGGACCCAGAUCAUGGGGCUGGGUUGGGGGUCUAUGGGUGCAGCCUCACCCUGACUCCCCUGGGUCGACCAGGGUGCUUUUCACCUCUGCACUUCCUGCCCUGCCCUCUCAGCUGAGCCCCGGCUAUGGCUCCAUCUGCCACCCAGACAGUUCCCAGCCAGACCUCUUCCAGUUCUCCACUCGGGUUACUGCCCUGCUGCAUUGCCAGCUAAUGAGCUCGGGACCUGGGGGCCCUCCUCCUGUUUCCUCUUCCUUCACCUUCCUCCACUAACCUCUAGCCCAGAACAUCUACCCACCGUCUUGCCAGCUUCGAUCCCCUAAAUCUCCAAUCUGUCCAACUCUUGCUGUAUCUGCCACCCUGGAAUAAGGAAGUGAUCUCGUACCUGAUUUCCUGAUUCCCCUGGCUCAUCCUUACCAGCCUCCGUGCCAGUGAGUUGAUGUUUUUUUUCCCCCCCGGGUAAUGGGGCUUGAAUUCAGGGACACUCCACCACACCACUGAGCCACACCCCAGCCCUAUUUUGUAUUAUAUUUCGAGACAGGGUCUCACUGAGUUGCUUCAUGCCUUGCUUUUGCUAAACUGCAAUCCUCCUGCUUCAGCCUCCCAAACUGCUGGGUUUGCAGGUGUGCAACCCUGUGCCUGGCUCACCAGGGAGGUUUCAAAGUACAACUCUGACCCCAUGGCUCCUGCUGCAGCCCUGCAGUGGCCAUCAUGGCUCCAAGGACAAAGACCUGCAUUCUCACACAGCCAGCACAGCUCCUGCCUCCCCUUCCCCAGGGCUGUGCGGGAUACCUUGACACCUUGUCAAUCCAAAUAAUAAUCAGAGAUUCUCCAAAGAACCACCAUGCUUCCUCGGGAAGAGCAGGGCUCCACAAUGGGAACACACGGCCAUCGCAAGCCACGGUGUCCUGGAAGAGACAGUGGCAAGGCCUUAUUUUUUUCUCUCUUUUUUUAAAUAGAUGUGCUCUUCAAUCCAUAAGCUCCAUUACAUCAAUAGAACAAAGUGGGCUUAGCAUUUCACUUAAGGUAGUUCAGCAUUGUCAGUUUUUAAGGAAACGAAUGUCUUAGAAGCAAAUCAGUCUGCCUUAACAAAUUACAUUCAUGCUGAUGAAGAUUUAAUCUUCUUUGAGGGUUAUGGCCAAAAUUCAAACUGCAGGACAGUGUUCAGAAAACUUGAAGUGUGAAGUGUUGAGUUCAGUUUAGAUCAGUGUCUUCAUCAUCGUCUCCAAUGUUAUCAAGUGAGUUCCGUCCUCAUCUCCAGGACCAAAUGCAUGUUCCACUGACUCCAGCUCCGGGCUCGCGAGCCCUCAGCCGUCCAGCUUCAAACUGCCAUCAGCCUCGUUGUCCUGGUGGUCUUGGAAACCAACCAAUGGGUCUGGGGUAUUUCUUCAAACUUUUCCUCAGUUUCCCUCUGAUGUCAUUUAAUCUCUGUAUGCCAUAGACGUCCAUUUCCCAGCCUGGAUGCCCUGGGCAUGAGGUGCCAGCCUCGACGAACAGCAGCUGUUUUCAAACUUGUCCUCAUUCUUACCUCUGCUUUGUUUUUCCUCCUUUACCUCUGCUCCUGGGCAUGGCAGUGAAGGUGGCCUUGUGUUGUCUCCAACUUCUUUCCAAGGGGGCACAGUGGAGGAGGCAGAGCCUGCUGGGUGACACCGAAGAGCACAUGGGACAAAGCAGGCUCGCAGAGGCUGAGUGGCCUUCACAGACAGUCUCAAGGCUGGGUUCUUUCUCCAGGGGCCCCAGGGCCUCCCAGCACUGUUAGGCAUUACGUGGCUUCUGGCCACUUUUGGUCACAACAGCAGCUUCACCUCCUAAGUGCUUGUGAGCAGGAUAGUUGCGACUUGGCCUGUCAGCCAGAAUGAACUGCUCUCUCCCUGCCGGUGCUCGGAUCUGCACGGCAGGAAGCUCAGGGUUUGCAGAGAUUCUUAAGUGUCUGUGCUGUGCAGAUUCAGAUUCUUUGAUGAGAUUCUCUACCAUUAAUCUACUUUCUCCACUGUUUCCUCUAUUUGAACAAAACACGAUGAUCAAAGGGAUUUCCCAGCUCUUGUCUGCCACCUCUGGUCUGUCCCCAUCCUGCUUCUCUCCUGGGUUCCUGCACUGUGGUCCCUGAAUGCUGGGUGUCAGAACUGCAGAUGGAGGGUCAGCCGCAGGCCGGCAGCCUGCCCUGGAAGUGGAGCUUCACUGUCCACACGCUGGCCAUGCUGCUCUUGCCCCACAACAGCAGAGUUCAGUGGACAGAGGCCACUACUGCUAAAAUCCUUAUUCUCUGGCUCCUAAGGGACAGCGUGGCAAGCCCGACCUCAGUGGCACUAAGUGGGGGGCUGGCUCGCCGUCUGCUGUGUUGGCUCCUGUUUCCAGGGCCCAGUCCUGAGGACAGUAAGCCACAUGCUUGCUGGGAACACGGGAGCCCUCCCUCCUCAGCACUGAGACCAGCACGACUCGGCUUUCACUGAGCUCUUGAACACCCUCUCUGCCUCCCAACUUGUCAAGACUUGGAGGGAAGGCCAGCCCUCAGGUCUACGCUCUCUCGUGAUCAGACGCCCCUUGAUCUCUGGUUGGUCAUUAAACCAGCAUGAACAGAAACUUGGCAAACGCUGGCUGCAGAUGGCCGGCUCUUCUCUCCGUGGGCUUCCCUCUUUGAAUCAUAACCCUGUCAGUCUUUAUUGCUUCUGCAGCUUUCUGAUGCCUUUGGAGAAAUGCCUUCUGUAUCCAUGUCUGGCUUUUCUAGUUUUUUUUUUUUAAUUUUUUUUUUGUGUGUGUGUGUGUGUAGUUGUAGAAAGGCAGCAUGCCCUUGUUUUAUUUAUUUUUGUAUGUGGUGCCGAGGAUCAAACCCAGUGCCUUACACAUGCUUGGCAAGUGCUCCACCACUCAGCCCUAGCCCCAGCCCCAGCCCCAGCCCCAGCCCUGCUUUCCUAGUUCUUAGUGAGAGACUCCAUCCACCAUAAACCACUCCAUCCUACCUGGACUUGAACGACUGCUACUCAUGUUUAAAAUUUUGAUUUCAGAUUCCAAUUGUUCAUUGCUAACAAACAAAUAUGUAUUGAAUUUUGUACAUUAACCUAGUAAUCUGUGACUUUGCUGAACUUGAUUAAAUGAAUUCGUUCUAAUAGA